rfam:Ochrobactrum intermedium 229E Contig292, whole genome shotgun sequence.
GUCUGACACGGCCCGACGGUGGCGAGUCUCGCCCCCCCAACAUUUGGCCGCGGAGCAAUGAC